rnacentral:tRNA from 1 species
GGGGCAUUGGCGCAGCUGGGAGCGCGAUACGUUCGCAACGUAUAGGCCACGGGUUCGAAUCCCGUAUGCUCCA